UACGAAGGGGGCUAGCGUUGCUCGGAAUCACUGGGCGUAAAGGGUGCGUAGGCGGGUCUUUAAGUCAGGUGUGAAACCUCCAGGCUCAACCUGGAGACGCCACUUGAUACUGCUGUGACUGGAGUCCGGUAGGGGAGCGUGGAAUUCCUGGUGUAGCGGUGAAAUGCGCAGAUAUCAGGAGGAACACCAGCGGCGAAGGCGGCGCUCUGGGCCGGUACUGACACUGAGGAGCGAAAGCGUGGGUAGCAAACAGG
rnacentral:rRNA from 1 species